GAUGAACGCUAGCGGGAGGCCUAACACAUGCAAGCCGAGCGGUAGAGUUUCGUCGGCUACUUGAGAGAGGCGCACGGGUGCGUAACACGUGUGCAACCUACCUUUAUCUGGGGGAUAGCCUUUCGAAAGGAAGAUUAAUACCCCAUAAUAUAAUGAUUGGCAUCAAUUAUUAUUGAAAACUCCGGUGGUUAGAGAUGGGCACGCGCAAGAUUAGAUAGUUGGUGAGGUAACGGCUCACCAAGGCAAUGAUCUUUAGGUGUCCUGAGAGGGAGAUCCCCCAGACUGGAACUGAGACACGGACCAGACUCGGACGGGAGGGAGCAGUGAGGAAUAUUGGACGAUGGGGGAGAGCCUGAUCCAGCCAUCCCGCGUGAAGGAGGACUGUCCUAUGGAUUGUAAACUUCUUUUGUACAGGGAUAAUCCGACCCUCGUGAGGGUAGCUGAAGGUACUGUACGAAUAAGCACCGGCUAACUCCGUG
rnacentral:rRNA from 1 species